rnacentral:lncRNA from 1 species
AGGAGACAGAGGGCGCCUCUGUCCUCUCCUGGCCCCUUGCCCCACUGGGUGUCUGUGAAGGGGUGGAGCCGCUGGGGGGGCAGCGGGGGAAGGACUGCUAAAGACAGGUCUCUCACACAGCCCGGGAGCCACACUUGCAGCCUCGGCCAUUUGUGCAGAACCCGCUCCCAUCUCAGGCCCAGGCCAACUGUGAGUAUCCUGCCCAACCUGGCCUAGGUCCUUGGCCUGGCCAGCUUGGGGGAAAGGGGACUUCAGAGGGGGUCCCAAGAGCGGGGGAGGGGUGACGAUGGCAUUCUGCAUCGUGGUGCACUUAGGGCCUGGGAGGAAUUAGGGUAGGGGCAACUCAGAAUCUGGGGGAGACGGUUUGGAAGGUGGUAAGGGGGGGAGUGAGUAAGGGUCAGAGUUAGAGCUGGGAGCUCAGUGAAUGGGAGCCCAUCACCCAGCUUCCAGGCCACCAGCCCCUCCCACACAGAGCCCACGAGUCCCCUGCCAAGUCUCCUCAGUCUCUCAUUGUUGGGGAAGGGACACAGCCUUGCCUUGCCUCCCAUGGAGUAACAAGAACAGAAGAGAACAGCUGUUCCUACCCACUUCCAGACUCAGUCUCUGCCACCCCUGCUAGCCUUGCCAAGAGCCGGGCCCAGGGAGGUCUGGGGGCAGCAGAGCAAGGGCCGCAUGAUUAUCAGGAAGAGAGGACUCUUGGUUCUGAGCCCUCUCCCAACUCUUCCUUCACAAGACGUCCCCUUUGUCUUCCUCUUUUCUCAGCCCAGACCCCCCUCCUCUUUCCCCAAUUCCUUCCUCUGUAGUUUUCCUAUUUCCCCAACCCAGGUCCUCCCAGAACUGCCCCCACAUAAAAUCCCAGGCUGCUGGAGAGCUAGCGGCAACCUCCAGCUGUCCCUCCUGAUAGGGCUGGUAACUGAGCCACCAGCAUCCCUCCCUCGAGCACCCCUUAUCCUCUCUAUCAGCCCCGUCUUAGGUUCCGUCACCCCCACGUCUCUGUGACAAUUGCUUCUCAUGUCUGGAGUUCAGGUGACACUCACAAGGGCCUUAUUGAAGAGCUGGGAUGUCAUCUGAUCAGAGCCCAUUGUCCACUCCCCCAGUCCUGGGGAAGGAUGGGGAUACCUGAUCCCAGACACCUGAGCUGCCCCUUGGGGCUGCGGAGGGCCUGACUGUCCCAGGGCCAAAGGACAGAGGCUCCCCAGCUUGGCAGUCUCCUCUCCUCAACAGACCCCUCCAUUCUUCUCCUGUUCUCGCCCAGCCCCUUGAACUCAAAAGACUUCAUGCACUCAGUUUUUAUCUCCCCAACACAUACCAGCCCCAUUCCCUGUUCCCACUGUACCCACAUCAACCAGGCAACCAGGGACCAAGGUCUACAGAUUCCCUCCCCCUCUCCAGGGCUCAGACAUUCUUUUCUCCCUUCCUGCCACCCACCUGAUGGAGGCCAUAAUUUUGCAGAGAGGAAUUAAACUGAAGGCACUGGGAGGCACACCCCAGAGAGGUCAAAAUGACAAGUUGAAGAGAGGAGGGCUUGAAGGACCAAAAAAGAGCCCUACAAAUUGCUGGCAGGAAAAUCAGAAACAGACUCCGUUCCCCCCAAAAGCUCUGGGCCACCCACUCAGGCUACCACCCUCUGUCAGGCUCACCAAGGGAGCCAGACUCAGUCCUUGCUGCAGUGGGCCCCAGAGCCAAGGCUACAGGGACGCCAGCCCACCACCCCACGGCAGAACUGGCAGAACUUGGUCGUGCUAGGCCUACAAGGUCCAGGGUAAAAAUAGAGCCGGCAGAAGCCAUCCUAUCCUGUGACCACCCCAGCCCGCCCCACCCUCGUCUCUGCCCAGGCAGUCAGGAGCCACUGCGGACGCCCACGGCAGGCCUCCGGAGCCAGCCCAGUUCCGGCUGCUUGCUCUCCAUGCCCAACCCUGACUCCCUUUGGCUAGGGUUCAGACUGAGGGACACAGAGGUCUGCAGUUAGUUGUGCUGGGCCUUCCCCCACGCUGUGAAAUCCCAACGAAAGAUAAGCUGCAGUAGGACUCCCACCUCAGGGUUAUUUGGCUGUGGAACCAGGUCCAGGCCCGAGGAGGCCCCGGGCCUGGUCCCCAGCUCACCCGGGUGCUGUGUGGACGGAAUAGGCGCACUGCUGCGAUGGGCUCUGAGCUGGAGUCUGCCAUGGAGACCCUCAUCAACGUGUUCCACGCCCACUCAGGCAAGGAGGGGGACAAGUACAAGCUGAGCAAGAAGGAACUGAAGGAGCUGCUGCAGACCGAGCUGUCUGGCUUCCUGGAUGUGAGCAUGGAGUGCCAGGAGAGGGCGGGUGGGCAAGAGGUGGGGCACUGGGGGCGCCUCCCUGCCAUUCCUCCCCGCCCCCGCAGCUCAGUCCAGCCACCCCCUCCUCUCUCAUGGGGGUCUUCCAGGCUCCCCUGUGUCAAAUCCAAAUGCCCUGGUUUACUGCCUACCUGUGAAGCACUAGGUCUUGUGCAGUUUCCUCAAUGAGGUUCACGGUCUAGAAGGGAAACCCCGAACUCCAGGAAGUACACAGAGCCUUAACAAAGGUGCCAGAAAGGGUUAGUGGGAGAUUAGUGGCCAGACUGAAGUAAGACGGUUCCUUGAAGAGUGGCAGUUGAGCCAGGGGCUUCCACUGGAAGAUGACUGGGGUCAAUGAAGACAUUUUAGGGGGUGUCUGCAUGAACACAAGCAUAGAAGACAAUGUGGAGCACGCCCAGCAGUUCCAUUUGACUGGAGAGUGUGGAGAAGCAGGCUGCAAACGUUAACAGGGGGCACACAGUGAAGAAGCCACUCAGAUAUGGCAGACCGGGCAGCUCUGCAUUCAAAUUUUGGUCCUACUACUUCCUUUUUCUUCCCCCGCGUCAGUAUUGGGCAUUGAACCCAACGGUGCUUUAUCACUGAGUUAACGCUCCCAGCCCUUUUUAUUUUUUAGGACAGGGUCUCACUAAGCUGCUGAGGCUGGCCUCAAACUUGGGAUCCUCGUGCCUCAGCCUCCUGAGUCACUGGGAUUAUGGGCAUGUGUCACUAAGACCAGCCCUGCCACCUUUUUUCUUUUUCUUUUUGGUACUGAGGAUUGAACUCAGGAGCAUUCAAUCACUGAGCCACAUCCCCAGCCCGUUUUACUUUUUUUUUUUUUAAAGAGAGAAUUUUAAUAUUUAUUUUUCAGUUAUCGGCGGACACAACAUCUUUGUAUGUGGUGCUGAGGAUGGAACCCGGGCCGCACGCAUGCCAGGCGAGCGCGCUACCGCUUGAGCCACAUCCCCAGCCCCCCUUUUUACUUUUUGAGACAGGGUCUCACUAAGUUGUAUAGGGGCCUUGUUAAAUUGCUGAGGCUGGCCUCAAACUUGGGAUCCUCAGUCUCCUGAGCUGCUGGGAUGACAGGUGUGCAUCACCACACCUAAUGUCAGCCCUGCCGCUUUUUGUGUGACUUUGGGCACAUUUACUUAACAAAAAUCAUCCAUGUUUCUUCUUCAGAAUGGAAUUAAUAAAAAGAGCCCCAUACUGCUUGUAUUAGAAUUAAACUAGACAGUGCCUGGAAGGCUCCUAGUGUAGUGCUUGUCACACUGUAGACAAUUAGCUUAUGGUGAUUGACGUUAUCAUUAACUCUUCCAGUUAAGGCGUUUCUUCUGAAGGCAACAGGAGCCCAUGAGCCUUCUUGGGUGGAAAGCAGAAGGUCCCAUGAUUAGAGGCUGUCUGACCUCUUGCUCACGUCUGCCUUGCUCUCCUCGACCACCUCCUGCCCCGACUCAGUGAUGCACACCUCCUCUCCCUCUUCUUCCUCCACAGGCCCAGAAGGAUGCAGAUGCUGUGGACAAGGUGAUGAAGGAGCUCGAUGAGAAUGGAGACGGGGAGGUGGACUUCCAGGAGUAUGUGGUGCUGGUGGCUGCUCUCACAGUGGCCUGUAACAACUUCUUCUGGGAGAACAGUUGAGCAGACAGCCCAGUGGGCAGCGCCCUUCCCCUCCCCCUGCCGGGCCCGCCCCUUCACCUGCUUUCACCUCACCCCACUUAUCCCUGUCCACAUUCUCACCAUUGCCCACCUCCUUCAAUACACACCAAGGGCGCAAGAGUAGCAGUCCAGGCCUGCAACUAAUCUUUCAUUAAAGGCUCCGCUCUCAGCAGCCAUCAAUGUCUGUCUCCUCUGGGGUCUGGAAGUGGGUGGAGAAAUGAGAGUUGAUUACUCCCAACUCCCCCGAUUUUGGAAAGAGUUCCCUGUGCACAUCAUCUUCCUACCUGAAGAACGCUCAAGACUUACAAAUGUAGGGGUCCAAGGUUCCAGCUGGAAGAGACAUCAGCUUCUCAACUACAAAACCAGAAGGAAAAAAGCUCCUUUCAACCUUCAACCAACCUUUACUGAGGUCCUACCACGUGCUAAACAUUGUGUGGGAACUGGGGACACACCAGUGAGCAAAAUAAAACUCUCCUUACCUCAUCAGAAUAAAGUCUAGCAAGGGUGCAGGACCAUUAAACACACCCACACAAACUAAGUGCCAGGAAAAACAAAGGGUCCCAAAGUUACAUGGGGCAGAAGAAAGUGCUGAAGAUGUUCAUUCAUUCAUCCCUGAAACAUUUAAGCACUUUGUGUACUGAGCCUUAAGAAAAAUCCCUUUACAGGUCUGCAUCAAAAUCCAUACGGAGGGCUGGGGAGGGCUGGGGACAUUGCUCUGGGGCCCUGUGCUUCCCUGGCAUGCGGAAGACUCUGGGUUACAUUUU